UGGCGGACGGGUGAUUAUCACGUGGGUAACCUGCCCUUAAGUGGGGGAUAACAUUUGGAAACAGAUGCUAAUACCGCAUAAAUCCAAGAACCGCAUGGUUCUUGGCUGAAAGAUGGCGUAAGCUAUCGCUUUUGGAUGGACCCGCGGCGUAUUAGCUAGUUGGUGAGGUAACGGCUCACCAAGGCAAUGAUACGUAGCCGAACUGAGAGGUUGAUCGGCCACAUUGGGACUGAGACACGGCCCAAACUCCUACGGGAGGCAGCAGUAGGGAAUCUUCCACAAUGGACGCAAGUCUGAUGGAGCAACGCCGCGUGAGUGAAGAAGGCUUUCGGGUCGUAAAACUCUGUUGUUGGAGAAGAAUGGUCGGCAGAGUAACUGUUGUCGGCGUGACGGUAUCCAACCAGAAAGCCACGGCUAACUACGUGCCAGCAGCCGCGGUAAUACGUAGGUGGCAAGCGUUAUCCGGAUUUAUUGGGCGUAAAGCGAGCGCAGGCGGUUUUUUAAGUCUGAUGUGAAAGCCCUCGGCUUAACCGAGGAAGUGCAUCGGAAACUGGGAAACUUGAGUGCAGAAGAGGACAGUGGAACUCCAUGUGUAGCGGUGAAAUGCGUAGAUAUAUGGAAGAACACCAGUGGCGAAGGCGGCUGUCUGGUCUGUAACUGACGCUGAGGCUCGAAAGCAUGGGUAGCGAACAGGAUUAGAUACCCUGGUAGUCCAUGCCGUAAACGAUGAAUGCUAGGUGUUGGAGGGUUUCCGCCCUUCAGUGCCGCAGCUAACGCAUUAAGCAUUCCGCCUGGGGAGUACGACCGCAAGGUUGAAACUCAAAGGAAUUGACGGGGGCCCGCACAAGCGGUGGAGCAUG
rnacentral:rRNA from 1 species